rnacentral:lncRNA from 1 species
AUGGGAAUCUUUUGGUUCUCCAAGGGGUGCGAAUGGUGCCUUGACAUCAACUCAGCGAGUAGCUGGAGACAUUUCUCACGCUGGAGGCAAUUGGACUCGAACAGGGAGGCCCGGCUAAAAGGCAGGGUGCGUGAGCGAGCUCUGCCGACGCUUCCAGCAGAGCCGUCGGGAAGACGCAGGCAGCCGAGCAUCGCUCCUCCAUCACUGAAGCAGGAGGCACCGGCCAACGCUGGCCAAGCGCUCGGCGUGCGACUCCCAGAAGGUGCCAGGCCCUGGCUCCGGGCACCUUCCACCUUGGAGCACCCCCCGCUCCUCGGGAAGGGGCCGAGGCUGCUGCUCUCGCGGGCUGUCGCAGUGCCCGGCACGGCCGCGCUCGGCCCCCGUGCCACGCGUGGGAAUUGCGCUGCCCCCACGGCCGGGCCGGCGUCCAGCAUUGCAAAGCUGAGCCCACAGACCGGGGCAAACCGCACGCCACGGAGACCCCCGCUCUGGUUUCAGCCUCUCCGCCUCCCCCCCGCUCUGCCCAGGAAUAUUCCCAAACUUCAGCUUUCCUGCUUUGCUACGGGAAAAGCCCUUCAGCCAGCCUGGGGCAGGGAGAAGAAGCGCCACCAGGCUUCAUUCCCCCGCGACCGCAAGGGUCUCGAGCGCGGGGAGCCGCGGCCACCUCCCCACGGUGCCCCACGCGGUCUCGCGGCCGUGCCGGCAGUGGGAUACCGGCGAUGUCCCGUGGCACCAGACCGCGUCCGAAGGGCGUUCGGCUCAGACAGGCCCAGGCUUUGUCCCAGCCCGGGACAAGGAGAAUGCUGUUGGUYUGCUCCGAAACAAAUGAAUGGAUUUUACUGUUUGACCAGCGCUCACGAGAACGCCAGUCAGCGCACGUCUGGCGAGAGGGCUGACACUUGUCGGCUCUGGUUUAUAGCUGGAGAGAAGGAGCCAGCUCUCCGGAGGAGAAUGACGUGUGCGCCUCGCUGUGCGUGCCUGUUCUCGGAGGAAUGUGCGGCAACAGAAGAUCAAGCAAAUACUUGGGACCGCUACAUCACGGAGGACUUUGUCAGCUAG